rnacentral:rRNA from 1 species
UGGGGAAUUUUGGACAAUGGGGGAAACCCUGAUCCAGCCAUCCCGCGUGUGCGAUGAAGGCCUUCGGGUUGUAAAGCACUUUUGGCAGGAAAGAAACGUCAUGGGUUAAUACCCCGUGAAACUGACGGUACCUGCAGAAUAAGCACCGGCUAACUACGUGCCAGCAGCCGCGGUAAUACGUCGGGUGCAAGCGUUAAUCGGAAUUACUGGGCGUAAAGCGUGCGCAGGCGGUUCGGAAAGAAAGAUGUGAAAUCCCAGAGCUCAACUUUGGAACUGCAUUUUUAACUACCGGGCUAGAGUGUGUCAGAGGGAGGUGGAAUUCCGCGUGUAGCAGUGAAAUGCGUAGAUAUGCGGAGGAACACCGAUGGCGAAGGCAGCUUCCUGGGAUAACACUGACGCUCAUGCACGAAAGCGUGGGGAGCAAACAGG